GGAAGCCUGGCCUAGGCGACUGGCCUUGGGCCUUGAUGACCCUCCUCGGGGUUCUUACUUACGGUCCUGAACCCCGCUGUAGUGUUUUUCCAGAACCCUUCAGGAAAGGGUGGUCACUAAAGCCCCAUAUCUCCCGUGGUUCUCGUGAGACUUCUCCUUGCUGGACCGUGGUUCCUUUCAGCCCCUGGCACUUUGGAGGCUCAGAAGAACUUGCAGAACUCCCAAGCCUGGCUGGACACCCACAAUCGCCUCUUGGGCCACUAUGUCAAUGGGAUGUGGCUGAAGCCAGAACACAGGAAUCCAGCGCCUUGCCAGGAUCCCAUCACAGGAGAAAACCUGGCCAGCUGCCUGCAAGCAGAGGCCGAGGACAUCUCUGCAGCUGU
rnacentral:lncRNA from 1 species